CUGGCGGCAGGCCUAAUACAUGCAAGUCGAGCGCGCCCUUCGGGGUGAGCGGCGGACGGGUGAGUAACGCGUGGGAAUAUGCCCUUCUCUAAGGAAUAGCCUCUGGAAACGGAGAGUAAAACCUUAUACGCCCUUUGGGGGAAAGAUUUAUCGGAGAAGGAUUAGCCCGCGUCGGAUUAGCUUGUUGGUAGGGUAAAGGCCUACCAAGGCUACGAUCCGUAGCUGGUCUGAGAGGAUGAUCAGCAAGAUUGGGACCGAGACACGGCCCAGACUCCUACGGGAGGCAGCAGUGGGGAAUCUUGGACAAUGGGGGCAACCCUGAUCCAGCCAUGCCGCGUGAGUGAAGAAGGCCCUAGGGUCGUAAAACUCUUUCGCCUGUGAUGAUAAUGACAGUAGCAGGUAAAGAAACCCCGGCUAACUCCGUGCCAGCAGCCGCGGUAAUACGGAGGGGGUUAGCGUUGUUCGGAAUUACUGGGCGUAAAGCGCACGUAGGCGGAUUAGUAAGUUAGAGGUGAAAUCCCAGGGCUCAACCCUGGAACUGCCUUUAAUACUGCUAGUCUUGAGUUCGAGAGAGGUAAGUGGAAUUCCGAGUGUAGAGGUGAAAUUCGUAGAUAUUCGGAGGAACACCAGUGGCGAAGGCGGCUUACUGG
rnacentral:rRNA from 1 species